CACCUCUCAACCACGCAUUUGCGUUGGCUUGGACCGUGGCCGCUGGCUGUGUACACAGCCCGGCCGAAAUGCACGCGGAGCGCUUACGCGCUUCUGCGACGUGAUACAGCGUUGUAGACCCCUCGCUGACCGUUGCAGGAGCACGGCUCCCCAGCUUAUCA
rnacentral:misc_RNA from 1 species